rnacentral:rRNA from 1 species
AGAGUUUGAUUCUGGCUCAGGACGAACGCUGGCGGCGUGCUUAACACAUGCAAGUCGAACGAUGAAGCCUAGCUUGCUAGGUGGAUUAGUGGCGAACGGGUGAGUAAUACGUGAGUAACCUACCUUUAACUCUGGGAUAAGCCUGGGAAACUGGGUCUAAUACCGGAUACGACCAAUCUCCGCAUGGGGUGUUGGUGGAAAGCGUUAUGUAGUGGUUAUAGAUGGGCUCACGGCCUAUCAGCUUGUUGGUGAGGUAACGGCUCACCAAGGCGACGACGGGUAGCCGGCCUGAGAGGGUGACCGGCCACACUGGGACUGAGACACGGCCCAGACUCCUACGGGAGGCAGCAGUGGGGAAUAUUGCACAAUGGGCGCAAGCCUGAUGCAGCGACGCCGCGUGAGGGAUGACGGCCUUCGGGUUGUAAACCUCUGUUAGCAGGGAAGAAGAGAGAUUGACGGUACCUGCAGAGAAAGCGCCGGCUAACUACGUGCCAGCAGCCGCGGUAAUACGUAGGGCGCGAGCGUUGUCCGGAAUUAUUGGGCGUAAAGAGCUUGUAGGCGGUUUGUCGCGUCUGCUGUGAAAGGCCGGGGCUUAACCCCGUGUAUUGCAGUGGGUACGGGCAGACUAGAGUGCAGUAGGGGAGACUGGAAUUCCUGGUGUAGCGGUGGAAUGCGCAGAUAUCAGGAGGAACACCGAUGGCGAAGGCAGGUCUCUGGGCUGUAACUGACGCUGAGAAGCGAAAGCAUGGGGAGCGAACAGGAUUAGAUACCCUGGUAGUCCAUGCCGUAAACGUUGGGCACUAGGUGUGGGGGACAUUCCACGUUUUCCGCGCCGUAGCUAACGCAUUAAGUGCCCCGCCUGGGGAGUACGGCCGCAAGG